rnacentral:tRNA from 1 species
GCAUUGUUGGUUCAGUGGUAGAACUCUCACCUUCCAUGUGGGCGACCGGGUUCAAUUCCCGUUCAGUGCA